AAGAGGGUUCUAAAUGUGUAUGCACUAAAAACCAGACCCUCAAAAUACUUGAAGCAAAAUUUGGUAGAGCUGAGAAGAGAAACAGACAAACCCACAAUUAUAUAUAAGUUGGGGAUUUCAACACUCCCCCCCCUCAGAAACAGUUAUAACUAAUACACAGAAAUUCAAGAAGAAUAUAGAAUAAC